rnacentral:rRNA from 1 species
AUGGAGGAGGAGGAGGGCGAGAGCCACGACUGGGCCGGGAUGCAGUCAGACGCGCUCUCCACCAUAUUCGGGAAGCUGGACGCGGCCGACCUCCUCACGGGAGCCGGGCAGGUAUGCCACGCGUGGCGCCGUCUCGCCGACAGCGACACCACGCUGUGGCGUCGCGUCGAGAUGACCCACGAUGGAGACAUCCUGAUGGCCGGGGCCAUGGCCUGCGCCGCCGUCGACCGCGCCGCUGGCACCAUGGAAGCCUUCUGGGCCGACUCCUUCGUCACUGAUCUCCUCCUCCGCUACAUCUCCGACAGGGCUGUGAACCUGUGA